rnacentral:tRNA from 1 species
GUCAGGAUGGCCGAGCGGUCUAAGGCGCCAGACUCAAGGUUAAUUACCUUAUCCCGUACACACGGGGUUAACUAGGAGUGUUCUGGUCUCUGAAUGGAGGCGUGGGUUCGAAUCCCACUUCUGACA